GACGAACGCUGGCGGCGUGCUUAACACAUGCAAGUCGAACGGAAAGGCCCUGCUUUUGUGGGGUGCUCGAGUGGCGAACGGGUGAGUAACACGUGAGUAACCUGCCCUUGACUUUGGGAUAACUUCAGGAAACUGGGGCUAAUACCGGAUAGGAGCUCCCGCUGCAUGGUGGGGGUUGGAAAGUUUCGGCGGUUGGGGAUGGACUCGCGGCUUAUCAGCUUGUUGGUGGGGUAGUGGCUUACCAAGGCUUUGACGGGUAGCCGGCCUGAGAGGGUGACCGGCCACAUUGGGACUGAGAUACGGCCCAGACUCCUACGGGAGGCAGCAGUGGGGAAUAUUGCACAAUGGGCGGAAGCCUGAUGCAGCAACGCCGCGGGCGGGAUGACGGCCUUCGGGUUGUAAACCGCUUUCGCCUGUGACGAAGCGUGAGUGACGGUAAUGGGUAAAGAAGCACCGGCUAACUACGUG
rnacentral:rRNA from 1 species